rnacentral:snRNA from 1 species
GGAUGUGAGGGCGAUCUGGCUGCGACAUCUGUCACCCCAUUGAUCGCCAGGGUUGAUUCAGCUGAUCUGGCUGGCUAGGCGGAUGUCCCCUUCCUCCCUCACCGCUCCAUGUGCGUCCCUCCCGAAGCUGCGCGCUCGGUCGAAGAGGACGACCUUCCCCGAUAGAGGAGGACCAUUCUUCGGUCAAGGGUAUACGAGUAGCUGCGCUCCCCUGCUAGAACCUCCAAACAAGCUCUCAAGGUCCAUUUGUAGGAGAACGUAGGGUAGUCAAGCUUCCAAGACUCCAGACACAUCCAAAUGAGCCGCUGCACGUGGCAGUCUGCCUUUCUUU